rnacentral:rRNA from 1 species
GACAGAGGGUGCAAACGUUGUUCGGAAUUACUGGGCGUAAAGCGAGUGUAGGCGGUUUCCUAAGUCAGGUGUGAAAGCCCCGGGCUCAACCCGGGAAGUGCACUUGAAACUGGGAGGCUAGAGUAUCGGAGAGGUUGGUGGAAUUCUCGGUGUAGAGGUGAAAUUCGUAGAUAUCGAGAGGAGCACCGGUGGCGAAGGCGGCCUUCUGGACAGCAUCUGACGCUGAGACGCGAAAGCGUGGGGAGCAAACAGG